rnacentral:piRNA from 1 species
AAUUGACUUCCCUGAAUUUCUGACAAU